rnacentral:lncRNA from 1 species
UUUUCCAGAUUUUGUGGUGGAUCCCAUUGGUGGUAGCUUGAUCCUUUGUGCGUGAUUCAAUUCUUUUGAUGGAUUUAGGGUUUUUGUUUUGGGAUUUUAAAAAAAAAACAAUUGCUUCAAAGAAUGAUGUUGUAAUGAAGGAAAAGAGAAGAUGAUUAAGAAACUUUUCUUCUUGUUGUAAUUUUUUUAUCAAUUGUUUGUAUCAUAUUUUUAGAAAGAAAAAUAAAAUGGUGAAGAG